AUGAGUGACUCCAAGGAACCAAGGGUGCAGCAGCUGGGCCUCCUGGGUAAGGCUGGGUUGGAACUCUGGGAUCCUGGGUAAGGGGAAGGGAUGGCCCAGGCUCUGAGCUGAUGUCUGUCAAUUCAGAAGAAGAUCCAACAACCAGUGGCAUCAGACUUUUUCCAAGAGACUUUCAAUUCCAGCAGAUACAUGGCCACAAGAGCUCUACAGGGUGUCUUGGCCAUGGUCCCCUGGUGCUGCAACUCCUCUCCUUCACGCUCUUGGCUGGGGUCCUGGUGGCCAUCCUUGUCCAAGUGUCCAAGGUCCCCAGCUCCCUAAGUCAGGAACAAUCCGAGCAAGACACAAUCUACCAGAACCUGACCCAGCUUAAAGCUGCAGUGGGUGAGCUCUCAGAGAAAUCCAAGCUGCAGGAGAUCUACCAGGAGCUGACCCAGCUGAAGGCUGCAGUGGGUGAGUUGCCAGAGAAAUCCAAGCUGCAGGAGAUCUACCAGGAGCUGACCCAGCUGAAGGCUGCAGUGGGUGAGUUGCCAGAGAAAUCCAAGCUGCAGGAGAUCUACCAGGAGCUGACCCAGCUGAAGGCUGCAGUGGGUGAGUUGCCAGAGAAAUCCAAGCUGCAGGAGAUCUACCAGGAGCUGACCCAGCUGAAGGCUGCAGUGGGUGAGUUGCCAGAGAAAUCCAAGCUGCAGGAGAUCUACCAGGAGCUGACCCAGCUGAAGGCUGCAGUGGGUGAGUUGCCAGAGAAAUCCAAGCUGCAGGAGACCUACCAGGAGCUGACCCAGCUGAAGGCUGCAGUGGGUAAAUUGCCAGACCAGUCCAAGCAGCAGCAAAUCUAUCAAGAACUGACCGAUUUGAAGACUGCAUUUGGUGAGUUCCUGCACAUCGAGGGUCCUUGGGCCUGAGAUGGUCUCUGUGUGAUGUGACUUUACUUGAGUUACCAACCCUGCCUGAGCCUCAGUUUCCUCCCCUGUGAAAUGAGAACACAGGGUAACUGCGAUCAUUGCACUUGGUGUUCACACUGGGCCAGGCACACAGUAGACACUCAGUUCAACCAAUCCGCUGCCUUCUGUUCUGAGCUCUAAAGCUGCUAAUUCUCCCAGUCUGGAAGAGAUGGAGCCAGGACUCCUGGGUUCUCCUGGGGAUCAGGGAGAGUCUUGGGAAGUAGGGAGAGGAAUGGUCUCUCCUCAUUCCAAGAGGUCCACCCAACAUGGACAGUCAAGGAAGGGCCCUGAUUUUCAAGGGCUUGAAGGCUGGGCAGAUAUGGGAAUAUGGACAACCUGAUCUGAGCCCAGCCCUGACCAGCCUCCCCCAACAGAACGCCUGUGCCGCCACUGUCCCAAGGACUGGACAUUCUUCCAAGGAAACUGUUACUUCAUGUCUAACUCCCAGCGGAACUGGCACAACUCCGUAACCGCCUGCCGGGAAGUGAGGGCCCAGCUCGUCGUAAUCAAAAGUGCUGAGGAGCAGCUUCCAGCGAUACUGGAACAGUGGAGAACCCAACAAUAGUGGGAAUGAAGACUGUGCGGAAUUUAGUGGCAGUGGCUGGAACGACAAUCGAUGUGACAUUGACAAUUACUGGAUCUGCAAAAAGCCCGCAGUCUGCUUCAGAGACGAAUAG
rnacentral:sRNA from 1 species